rnacentral:rRNA from 1 species
AGAGCGGCGGACUGGUGAGUAACGCGUGGGUGACCUGCCCUUAGGAUGGGGAUAGCCAUUAGAAAUAGUGGGUAAUACCGAAUGUGGUUACGAGACUGUGGUCUUGUAAAGAAAGGAGCUACGGCUCCGCCUAAGGAUGGGCCCGCGUCCCAUUAGCUAGUUGGUGAGGUAACGGCCCACCAAGGCGAUGAUGGGUAGCCGGCCUGAGAGGGUGAACGGCCACACUGGGACUGAGAUACGGCCCAGACUCCUACGGGAGGCAGCAGCUAAGAAUAUUCCGCAAUGGACGAAAGUCUGACGGAGCGACGCCGCGUGGAUGAAGAAGGCCGAAAGGUUGUAAAAUCCUUUUGUCGAUGAAGAAUAAGCAUGGGAGGGAAUGCCCGUGUGAUGACGUUAGUCGGCGAAUAAGCCCCGGCUAAUUACGUGCCAGCAGCCGCGGUAACACGUAAGGGGCGAGCGUUGUUCGGAAUUAUUGGGCGUAAAGGGCGCGUAGGCGGUCCUGUAAGCCCGGCGUGAAAACCUGGAGCUCAACUCCGGGCCUGCGCUGGGAACUGCGGGACUAGAGUCAUGGAAGGGAAGUUGGAAUUCCAGGUGUAGGGGUGAAAUCUGUAGAUAUCUGGAAGAACACCGGUGGCGAAGGCG